UGGGGAAUAUUGCGCAAUGGGCGAAAGCCUGACGCAGCAACGCCGCGUGAGUGAUGAAGGCCUUCGGGUCGUAAAGCUCUGUCGGAGGGAACGAAUGCUCCUGAAGUUAACAGCCUCAGGAGGUGACGGUACCCUCAAAGGAAGCACCGGCUAACUCUGUGCCAGCAGCCGCGGUAAUACAGAGGUGGCAAGCGUUGUUCGGAAUUACUGGGCGUAAAGGGCGCGUAGGCGGCCCUCUAAGUCAGACGUGAAACUCCCCCGGCUUAACCUGGGAACUGCGUCUGAUACUGGAGGGCUUGAGUAUGGGAGAGGGAUGUAGAAUUCCAGGUGUAGCGGUGAAAUGCGUAGAUAUCUGGAGGAAUACCGGUGGCGAAGGCGGCAUCCUGGACCAUUACUGACGCUGAGGCGCGAAAGCUAGGGGAGCAAACGGGAUUAGAUACCCUCGUAGUCCCUGAGCGGGCUGGCAAGGCGCAU
rnacentral:rRNA from 1 species